UGCGCCAUCGCCAAGCGGUAAGGCAGAGGACUUUGACUCCUCCAUCACAGGUUCGACCCCUGUUGGCGCAA
rnacentral:tRNA from 6 species